UACAGAGGGUGCAAGCGUUAAUCGGAAUUACUGGGCGUAAAGAGCGUGUAGGCGGCUUGGUAAGUCCGCUGUGAAAGUCCAGGGCUCAACCCUGGAAUGCCGGUGGAAACUGUCAAGCUUGAGUCCGGAAGAGGCGAGUGGAAUUCCUGGUGUAGCGGUGAAAUGCGCAGAUAUCGGGAGGAACACCUGUGGCGAAAGCGGCGCACUGGACCACAACUGACGCUGAGGCGCGAAAGCUAGGGGAGCAAACAGG
rnacentral:rRNA from 1 species